AUAUUGCACCAUGGGGGUAACCCUGCCGCAGCGACGCCGCCUGAGCGAAGAACGCCAACGGGUCGUACCGCUCUGUCCUCAGGGAAGCAACGGACGGUCACAUCGGAGGAAGCCCCGGCUAACUACCCAUCAGCAGCCGCGGUAAUACGUAGGGGGCAAGCGUUGUCCGGAAUUCUUGGGCGUAAAGGGUGCGUAGGCGGCCUUUUAAGUCAGAUGUGAAAUAUUAGGGCUCAACCCUAAUCGUGCAUUUGAAACUGGAGGGCUUGAGUAUCGGAGAGGGUAGUGGAAUUCCCAGUGUAGCGGUGGAAUGCGUAGAUAUUGGGAGGAACACCAGUGGCGAAGGCGACUACCUGGACGAAAACUGACGCUGAGGCACGAAAGCUAGGGGAGCAAACA
rnacentral:rRNA from 1 species